rnacentral:rRNA from 1 species
UACGUAGGGUGCGAGCGUUGUCCGGAAUUAUUGGGCGUAAAGAGCUCGUAGGCGGCUUUGUCGCGUCGGAUGUGAAAGCCCCGGGGCUUAACUCCGGGUCUGCAUUCGAUACGGGCAGGCUAGAGUUCGGUAGGGGAGAUCGGAAUUCCUGGUGUAGCGGUGAAAUGCGCAGAUAUCAGGAGGAACACCGGUGGCGAAGGCGGAUCUCUGGGCCGAUACUGACGCUGAGGAGCGAAAGCGUGGGGAGCGAACAGG